GAGAUCUAAUCGAAUUAAUUUGACUUGGACUUUAGAGCUGCUAUUUAUUUACUUACUGCUCUUAUAUAUUUUUGUUGUUUUGAAUCUGUUUGAAUAGGGCCCAUCAUAUAAGAAGAGAAAUCGCAAGCAACUAGCCAAACCCCUUACAUUCGUAAUUGUUUAAGUGAUUCCAGCACCAAGUAGCGAUUAGUGCCGCAUUGAGGUGCUAAGUAGUCUAGCUGAUCGGUUCAUGCGGAUAAAUCAAGCAACUUGAAUCACGUCCUUCUAGCUCUCAAGGUUGUUGACAAGUUAAAUCCUUUGUAUGUUCCCAAGACUCCUUUGCAGCGAAUAACGAACUACAAAACUUUUCUUGGUUGGUUUAGGAAUAAGGAAGGAUUGGUUGUCAGAACAUUUUCGACAAGUAUAACUGAUUUGCGUUAUUUUUGGUAAAAUGAACUCUUACAUCUAUGAUCAAUUUUAUUACUGGAGCAAGCUAUUUCGUUUACUAAGAGUUCUUUUUAUAAUUGUUUGAGUUUCUAAUUUGCCGCCAAGAGUU
rnacentral:lncRNA from 1 species